GCGAGCGCCUCCUGAACAAUCGGGCACCGUGGAGGAAACUCCAUGAGUGAAUGUGGUCAAAUUCGGUGAAACCUAAAGAGUGACCCAACUGACAGGGCACCCUACGGCAAUACCGAGCCAAGCCUGACUCAACACGAUGGCAUCAAUUGUCAACGUUGUGUUCAGGAAGGUCUAGAGACUAGACGGCCACCACCUAAAGGCAAUCAGCCUAUGGUGAAGGUAUAGUCCAGAGAGUGGGGAAACUCACAC
rnacentral:ncRNA from 1 species